AUUGAACGCUGGCGGCAUGCUUUACACAUGCAAGUCGAACGGCAGCGCGGGCUUCGGCCUGGCGGCGAGUGGCGAACGGGUGAGUAAUACAUCGGAACGUGCCCAGUAGUGGGGGAUAGCUCGGCGAAAGCCGGAUUAAUACCGCAUACGACCUGAGGGUGAAAGCGGGGAUCUUCGGACCUCGCGCUAUUGGAGCGGCCGAUGGCAGAUUAGCUAGUUGGUGGGGUAAAGGCCUACCAAGGCGACGAUCUGUAGCUGGUCUGAGAGGACGACCAGCCACACUGGGACUGAGACACGGCCCAGACUCCUACGGGAGGCAGCAGUGGGGAAUUUUGGACAAUGGGCGAAAGCCUGAUCCAGCAAUGCCGCGUGUGUGAUGAAGGCCUUCGGGUUGUAAAGCACUUUUGGCGGGAACGAAAAGGACUGUGCCAAUACCACGGUUCGAUGACGGUACCCGCAGAAUAAGCACCGGCUAACUACGU
rnacentral:rRNA from 1 species